AUUAUAAUAAUUUGGCUUCUCAUCCACGUUCCUUCUUCCUCCACACUUUCCUUUUCCCUUUUUUUUUUUGUUUUGUGUUUUUUCUCUUUCUUUUUUAAUUCGCUUCCCUCUAUAAAUUGGUUCCCACCAAUCCCUCUCGCCCGCCCUCUGCUCUCCCCAUCUUUGCACGUCGUACGCGAUUUUAAUUUUCUAUGCAGAUAGAUAAAUAAAAACUUAUAAGCUUGAAAAGAUCGAGGAAAAUAAAGAGAGAGACAGACAGACAGAAGAAACAUGGAGGUUCGCGGCAGACAAGAGAAGAAGAGAGGCUUGGUGGCGGCGGCAGCGGCGGCGUGCGAGGAGCGGAGGGCAGUCGGGUCUGCGAAUCCACUCCUUUUGCACCAUCCCUGUAGUGUCACCGGACUUGCCCGUCCCGAAUUCUAUGGAGUUGGGUCACCAGAUCGAAAUGCGGCCCCCGAUGAACUUCUCAGCAUUCUGCUAUCUGAGGCAUGACUUCUGCUUCAUUCUCUCUUCUUAUCUUUUUUUUUAAAUCCUGAUGAAUUCUGGUUUUAGAUAGGUUUAAAACUGUGUAUUCUGAUUUUAGAUAGAUCUAAAAAGUUGUUAGAUCCGGUGGUCUAGUUUUUAGAUCUGAUGAAAUUGUUUUGGCCUUCUGAUCUGCAUCUGAUGGUAACAG